CCAAGAGUUGUACCUUAACUGACUGAACCACCCAGGUGCCCCCUAUAUGCAGCCUUUAAGAUCUGAUUUUAUUCACUAACAUAAUGCUUCAAAUUUAUUCAUAAAACAAGAGUUUGUUUCUUUUCAUUGCUUAGUAGUAUUCCAUUUAAUGGAUGUGCCAAGGUUUAUUUAUAUAUUCACUUGUUGAAGGACAUCUGGAUUGUUUUCAGAUUUUGGUGAUUAUGAAUAAUACUAUAAUGAACAUUUUGUGUACAGGUUUUUGUGUGAAUACACACUUGAAAUUCACUUGGACAAAUACAUACAACUGAGAUUCCUGGGUCAUAUGGAAUUCAAGUUCUAUGAAGACAUUUUUUUUUUGCUGUUUUGUUUAGUGUUGUGAUUCCCCAAUACCUAGAACAGCACCAGGAUCCUCCAUCAUUUUGUCUCACCAGGCUUAAUGCUGGGCAUUUCUUCAGACUAAUUGUUUGUUUAUAGAAUUCUCCAUCCAGAGUACAUUGAUAGACAUCAUUCCUUUCAAAGAGGACCUAGAUACCUGGGUGUUUCCCAAGGAAGUAUGAAAGCUGAUAUAAACAUGGCAUUUCUGGCAUUCAUCUUCAUGAAUCCAUGAACAAGAAGGAGAAGCAGCAAUGGAUGAUACUUAUGUACAACCCCAAAUAAGAUAGUGUUAAAAAUAAAUUCAAGAGUUAUCUGCCUCGGUCACCUAAGGGUAGGUUCAGAGAAAUGAUGUAAAGGGAUAAGAGUAGAGGAUGGCUAAAAGCAAAGGUGAAAACUGCACCCAAGGCGAUGGAGCAACUUUCCACUGGAUGUCUCAGCUUGGCUCAAGAUGAGUGCGGGAGAUGGAGGUCGAGUCUCUGGAGACUUUAUCUGAGGGGCAAGCAGGGUCUUCAUGAGUCAUUCUGCUGUACCCUACUCUGUGUGGUAUGAGUUGGAGCCAGAAGAAAUGGAACAUCUAAAGCUGACCAUGAACAAACACUAUGAUGUCUCCCAGCAAACUCUUGACCUCCAGAGGCUCUGCUUUGACCCAGGUACAGUUGACAGCAGUAAUGCUAGGAAUGCUAGGGCAGGGAUCUUCCUGGGAGGGAGACUUAAAGGAUGACAAUGUGGGGAGGGGUUGGUACUGGCCCUGGACCCCUCUCAGCCUUCCUAUUGCCUCUUCUCAGAUUGUUGAAGACUUGGUGGGCCAUGAUAUUGAUAUAAUCCUGAAUUCAAGAAAAUGCAUGGCUGCCACCCUGAAGAUCAUUGAAAAGAGUUCCCCCUGAUGUGAGGCCUUAUGCCCAGUGCUGUUUUUAUGGUAGAGGAUGGUACGAAUGGUGUGGAGGGAAGACUUGUUUCUGAGGCCCUAGAUAGUAACUGUCACUCUAACUCCUUCUCACAAAAAGCUGUUGUCCUUGAACUCGAUCAACAACAAACUGUACAGGCUGGAUGGCCUGUCUGACAUUAUACAGAUGGUCCCCACAGUCAAGAUCCUGAAGCUCUCCAAGAAUGAGGUGGGAAGAGGGAGCCAGAUCAAAGUUGGGGUUGACGGUGGGUGGUAGUGUUUAUCAGUGAUGACAGGAGGCAGGAGAAGGUACCUGUGUGGAAAAGUGGGGGCUGGGGGUGCAGGGGCCCACAUGUCUCUCUUUCUCUGGGACUCGUUUCCAGCUUCCUCCCCAUAUUUCUCAGCAGACGUCAGCCUGAGAGCUGGACAAAGUGAGGGAGCUGUGGCUAGAGGGGAAUCUGUGACACCUUUCCUGGGGACCUCUGCCCCUGGGAGCAUGAGCUACCUGACAGUGCCCAUAUGCAGGAGGCAGCAGCUAUGAGGAGGACCAUGUGCCCUGACUUCUCUACUCUCUCUCUCACCUGUGCUUAGAGGUCUCCUUUCCUUCCUGUGACCUGCUUACCUGUUUUCCUGGUCUGGGGUCUGUUUCUUACCCUUCUGCACUUAGCUUUCCCUAACAUACUGCUAUGUUCUGACUGUGUCCCCCACCUCACCGCAUUCAUUUGUUGAAAUCCUGACACCCAAAGAUGAUAGUAUCAAGAGGUGGUUUUUUGGGAGGUGCUAAGGGCAUGAGGGUGCAACCUUCCUGAAUGGAAUGAGUACCAUUAUGUAAAAGGCUCCAGAGAGAUCCCUAACACCUUGUACCAUGUGAGGACACAGCAAAACGAUGCCAGGAAUGAACCAGGAAGAGGGCCCUCACAAGAAAGCGACCAUGCUGGUGACUUGAUCUAGACUUUCCAGCCUACAAAGUGGAUAGCAGAAAAUUACUGUCAUUUAUCAGAUACCAACUUGGUAGUAUUUUGUUAUAGCAGCCUGAACAGACUAAGACACAUGCCUUCCCAUGAGUGUGUUCCAGGAAGCGGGGCUCCAUCUCCUCUCCAGAACCAGAGUGACCACUUUGGGCCAGGUGAUGGUGCCUGGGACUGAGAAGGGCCCUCAACCCCAGGGCUUCAUGCUGAGACAGGCCUUCCUACUCCCUGCUGAGAUGGUGCUUCCCUCCCUUGUUCUGAGAGGGACCCUCUUUUCCUUGAACCAAAUGUGUCCCCUCCUCCAAUUCCAGGAUGCCAUAGUGGCUUUUCCUGCCCAUGCUGAGGGCUGAGGUCUUGGGGGGCUGCCAUCAUGACAUCCGUUCCUAUGACCCAAUGCCAGGAGCUGGGCCCUCCUUGAGACAAACCAGGGUUCCCUGAGUCAGGGGGCCAGAAGUGGGAGACUGCCAUGGAGCAGAGGACUUCCUGAGGCAGGAAUGGAAGUCAGAGAGCAGAGGUGUUUGAGGAGACAGAUGGAGAGGCUUCUCAGAGGCACUGUUCCCUCCCCACCCCCACACAUGUCACAUCAUCCAAACCGGCCCUUCAGAGGAUCCAUGGGUAGCCCGACAACGAAUAUAAUCCCUCAGGCAAGGAACCGACUGAGGCAGACACAGGUGCACUGGGACCAUCAGGAGGGAAGGCGGUGAUCAUAAGAGGGGACCACAGACCCUCAGCUUCAUGCUGACCUGGGACUUGACCCUCUACUCCUUCUGGGGAUGGUCGCCUGCCCCUGUGGCUGCCUCGUUCCCCAUGCCCAGCUCAGACUGAGUUCACACAGGUGACAAACCUUCAACCAGCACCCAUCCAGUGGGCCCCCAGCCCAACACCUGCAUGUUUUUCAUUCCUACCUUGGGUGCCAGGGUGUUAGGGAAACAGGCUGUGGGGUUUGAUGGUUCUCACCCUAAAUCCUUACCUUUCAAACUUGGACCUAUUACCUAACCUCUCAUUUUCCUCAUUUGCAGAAGGGGCCCAAUAAUAUCCAUCUCUUGGGCAGCUGUGAAAAUUGAAUCAAAUGAACUUGUGGAGUGGCUGUCACAGAGUCUGCACAUAGUAACAUUCCUGUCACUGAGAGCAGAUCGCUCCUAUUGUUGCUCUCCCAAUUCCUGACACCUCGAUUCCCAGGAACUUUUGUCCCCUUCAGCAUGAGUAUCAUGUAAGAUCCUGACUGGGGAAUGCUGUGUGAGUGUGUCAAGCAUGUGCAACUCUAAGGGGGUAUUGUUUGUUGUUGAAGUGGAAAGAAAUUCUCAGGGUUCUGUUCAUAACCUAUUUUCCCUCUCCCCCCACCAAGUGUCAUUGACAUAUAAGUGACAUUCAACCACAUUCACUUAUUGUACCUUGUAUCUGUACCUUCACCCAGACUUUCACUGCUACCCCUGUCAGCAAUUCCAAGUGAGUGCUGUGUUUUGGGUGGCACUCCCAGCCCAGCCUUGGUUCAGGGGUGUGGGAAUGUGGUUGUGUAGCCCUUGGGAUUUUAUCAAUAUUGCUGAAAGCUAUCAGGUAGAUCCAAGGAGUCUAGCCUAGUGGUAAGGGCAUGGGCUCUGGAAUCGGAAUAUGGGUUCUCUUCCAGACCCCAACACCCACUAGCUGUGUGACCUUGGUCAAGUCAUAGGACCCCUCUGUGACCCAGUGUCUUCCUCUGAAAAUGAAGAUUAUACAGUCCACUCCUUGGGCUGUUUUACAGACGAAAUGAGAGUAUAAAACCAUCUCUGAGGUGCGGUUAAGCCUCCUAAUCUAGCGAAACUGGUAGAUAAUCUCUCCAAAGGUGGUCUCUGUGGCAGGGGUAGAGGUAUCAGCCAAGCAAUCUGGGGGGGGGGGUGGAGCAAGCACAGUAGGGGUAUGAAAGGAAUGGAGUUGCUGAGUGGCAGUGGAAGCAGGACAUUGUUGAGGGAGUGGGGCUGCCUAUGUGUCCAGCUGUCCCAGGGCUCAUAUUGGCUUAGUGUAUGCAUCGUGAAUGAUAACUCUGCUUGUGAGGGACGUCAGCCCUAAGGAGACCCAGAACACAUUCUCUAUCCCAGUUCCCACACCUUCCUGAAGCUUCUUGACCACCUUCUCUCAAGAGCAGCAGGAAUGAUGCACUUUUUCACCACCCAGUCUGGGAUGAACCUCCAGUGGUCUAAGAAGUGAGUGGUCAGGCGGCAUGCAGAUAGGAGCUGGCAGGAGCCAAGAAGGGAAUAAUGGGAACUUGCAGGUAAUUGUUUUGCUUGGUUAUUUCUCUCAUUGUCACCCUGAACAUUCCUGUCUCCAUACACAUUAAAUUACCUAGUUGUUUUGAACAGGUUUACAAUUAUGUUGGCCUCAUUCCUUUAUUGACAGAUGUUUUGGUUUCAGGAGUUUUCCCAGUACACACUGACACAGGGCUCAUUCUACUGCAUAUGUUGCAGUAAAUGUGGGGCCAUAUUUUCCUUGCAUAGAUUGGGAAAUGGCAGCCCUAAUGGAUGUCAUCUGACUUUUCUCUACCCCAGGGGACUUUGUGACAACCACUGGGACCACACUGGUUCUCACUUGGCCCAAGGUGAGGUCCAGGUAUUCAGGCCAAGUGAGUGGAGACUGGGUGACCUGGGGAUGAGACUCAGGGCUCAUGGCUCUGCUGAUCUCCCACCUUCCUCCCUUUACUUCCUCCAGGCCAAGCACACGAUUCCAGAGGAGGCCCUCACCUAAGCUGAUUCAGGAUGCUGAGAACACAGCCCUGACAAGAAACUCUUGGAUGUGGUCAUCUUUGUUGUGUUUCUCCUCCGGUCUUAGUAUAACCCUGUGAAAGAGCAGGAGGUCUGCUUGGGGUUGGGAAGCCAACAGUUAACUGACACUAAUCCACCCAAAGGGCUAGUUGUUGUGCAUAUUUGUCUCACUCAGAAUUCCUGAUUCUUUUGAUAAUAAAGAAUGAUGUUGCCUGUUAUGUCAAAUCCCUGCAAAAUCCAUUUUGAGGCAGGCAUUUUUUGUACUACAGGCAAAGGUAAAGUCAGAGAGGGUCAGAGACUCCUUGAGAACAGCGGGGUAGGGUCUCAAAUCUUGGACCCCCUAAAUCCCAGGCUGUGUGUGUGCUCCCUAGGGCCACGUAGCUGUCGAGGUGUGGAAUGUUACCCUGGUAAACCUGGAGAUGGUGUUCUGUGCCCCUAGCAUAUGACUAAAAUGUUUUUAUACAGAGAACAGUAUAAUUGCUUAGCCAUACAAAUGAACUUAGAUACCUUUUGUGGGGCGGGAGGGAAAUGGCAUUAAAGAGCACAUGAAAACCUGGGAACUAAAAAUUACCCAUAUACAUGGAUGACAUAGGAUAAAUGUCCUUGAUAUCAAAAGAAAUCAAUAAAGAGAUCAUAAAUUGAUAUUAACCUAGAAUUGUUAUUAAAAGCAAUAAGAGUGUCCAACCAAUCUAUGAAAAGCUAUACAACCACGAUAACUAUAAAAAUGUAACUGCAAACAUUAGAUGAGAUACUAAAUGAGAAAAGAAAGCUGAAGAUUGUUAUUUUCAGUAAAAUACACAUACAGAGAGAGAGAGAGAGAGAGAGAGAGAGAGAGAGGAGUCUAUAUCGAUAGGUUGUGUAUAGGAAAUGUAUAAAGUCAUUACUUAUAAAAGUCAGGUCAGGUAUACACAAUGUGGAGAUGACCUAUCUCUGAGAGGUAGGCAUUUCCGUCUUUACCUCAGAGUCCCUUCCACUCCUUUGCUGGUGUGCAGGGCAACUUUCAAAGACUGCAGGGUUUGAAACUCAUUUGUAUGGGGAAAACUCUUCAGGGUUAGUUCUGGGAGGUUCCACAGGUAGACCUUCCUUGAUAACCCAGGAGAAAAGGGAAAAGAGGUGGGUUUAGAUGGAGGGUGAAUGUUGGUGGCCCUUGAAGGGGGAAGGAGCUGAUGAGGACUUAGCUCUUUAGCCCCAUAGCUCCAGGGAAGCCCUCAGGUUGUGGCUGUCUUCAGUUGAAAAUCAAGAGUGCUCUUGGGUCAGAACCUUCCCAGGGUCAUGAGGGGAUGGGCACAGGAAAUGGUACCCAGAGAGCCUUGUGCUUCUCUACUUCACUUUUAUUCUCUGUCUUGACUUUUUGUAUUCCCCACCCUCAGCUGAGUUCAUCUGUAACUUUGUACUGUCUGGCAGUUAAUCCCCACUUCUAUCAUUCACACUUUGGCUGGGUGGUAGGAAUAAUUAAAGCAAGUACACUAACAACAAUAAUAAAAGAUACCAACAAUUAUAGCACAUAUAGUAGAUAAAUUACUUGGUCAAGAUCAUGGAAGUACUGGUUCCCAGCAUCAAAUGCAGGUCUUUCUGACCCAAAAGCCCCUGCCCUAACCCCUGUGUAUACAUUGAGUGUUCUUCUGUGUUAGGCUGGAGGCCAGCACAGGGGAGGGAAGUCACCCAAGGUCCUGUGGUCAGUGAUGGGUCUGGCAACUGGGACACAUGCUUGAUGACUCCCAUCUUCUAUAGUUGACCUGUUACUAUUAUUAUUUCUCCCAUAUUAUUUCUUCUUCCUGAGGGCUCAGUAAAAAAUUGUUUCAUCCAUGUCAAAGUAGAAGGAAACUAAGGAGACAGGAAAGCAUGAAGGGAAUAGGAAAUGAUGAAAUGGGACCAAAGUUCACUUCUUGCUGCUACAUUUCCAGAUAAUGUUUCAAAUCUUCUACUUUAUGGGCAGAGGAGGCAGUGUGGUCCAGAAGUAAUACACCUCAAGUCCUGCUACAUGCCAGACAUUCUUUGAGGUUUUCUCCCUUUCUUCUUACAAGUCUGGAAGUAGGCACCCUUAGUCCCAUUUUACAGAUGACCAACCUCAGACUCGCAGAGCUGUGUAAAUGUUCCAGAAUCAAACAUCUACCCCUUGCCAUCUGCACAGGCCAACCAGAAGUCUCCCAUUUGGGUGAUGGAUUUUGAGGGCUUAAGGACUGAUAGUGGGAAACUCUCCUGAUAUAGAAACUGGGCGGUGUCACGUCCUCAUUUGGCAUGAAGAUGAUGGUGGGGAUGAAAUCCUGCACCAUGAGUCAUGAGCCAAGAGGCCUGGCUAUGGGGGCCACAUAGACUGGCUGAUUCUUGGGGUGUUGAAUUGGACCCAGGAAGCAGCACAAAUGGUUGCCUUUUGGAAAGGGAACCUGAACUAUAGGAUAUUAACAUGGACAACUACUAUAUGAAAGGUGUUUUACAGUUCAUCUCAUUGAAUCCCAACUACUCUAUGCGAGACCAAUACUUACCAAUGAUCAGGGAACAGACAUUAAAAGUUAAGUAACAAAAUCCAAGAAACGGUAUUGUAAUUAAAUUCUUUAAUACACAAAGAUUAGGUUCUUCCUUGUUUGUCCUAUGAGCCAUCAUUCCACAUCUCGGAAGGCAUUAUUAUUCACUUGUUCUUGUUCAAACAGUGCACGGAAAUACUUUUAAAAUACGAAAACUCAUUAAAAAUAAUCAAAUGUUGUCUGCACAGCAAACAUUAAAAGGCAUGUGAAAAGCUGGAGUAGAUCAUUUCUAACCUACCUUCAGACACUUGUUUACGUAUUCAAUGUACAAAAUAUUCUUAAACAAUAGAGAUAGGUCAAUGAUAUCAGGAGUGGAUGCACAUAAGAAGGAACAUAAAUUCUUUAUAAUCACGUGAAAACAUGCUACUCUAAAUAAGUAAAUAAGUAGAAAAUAAACCAUAUCAAGUGAAACAGGGAUAUCACAAUGUAUAAAGCAAAAUAUGACCCCAUUUCUGCAAAAAGUAUAUAUCAACAUAGGUGUAUAGGUAUGAGUGUGAUUAGAUUUGUGCAAUACAUACAGAGAAAAAUUUGGGAAAUAGGCACCGCUAAGUUAACAGAGACUAUCUUUGUGUUACGGUGGGCAAAAGGUAGGGACAGAAGGGAGCGACAUAACAAUUUCAGCUUUUAAAUAUGCAUUUUAUAUGUUUCUCGUAUGUGUCAGACAAAGAGAAGUAUUAACUGGCAAUCUGGCAAAGUAUGGGGAUAAAGUUUUGUGAAACAGGCAUAUCAGCAACUGAGUCACAAGAUAAUAGUGUAGCUAUAUGUUUAUUUAGCAACUUAGAAACCUGUUCAUAUCCUGUAGAAUGCAAAUAGUUUGCUAAAUAGAUGUCUAUGAUAAUUCACUGUGUAUGCAUUGUUGGGGAGAGAGAUAUGUUUAUUUUAUAAAUUUGCAUUUUUAUAGUGUCUGAAAUAUGGAAACAUUGAAUAAAAUAUCAAAAACAUAAAAUAAUUGCGAGGUGAUUACAAAUAUGAUACAUAUUCAUGGCCUUGGAAGCAGAUCAAAACAAUUUAUUUGACAGUUUUCUGUAUGCAUAUGUGUUUGUGUAUGUUUCUUUGUUUCAAACUUCUUCACACCAAUUAUUCAUACACUAAGUCAUGCAACUUUCUACUUAGUUCACUGAGGGGCUGGAUUUCCCGACCAGAGCUUAAGGAUCCCAGGAUGGGAAUGAAAGUAGAAGGAUUGGUGCCAGUGAG